rnacentral:rRNA from 1 species
GUAGGUGGCAAGCGUUGUCCGGAAUUAUUGGGCGUAAAGCGCGCGCAGGCGGUUCUUUAAGUCUGAUGUGAAAGCCCACGGCUCAACCGUGGAGGGUCAUUGGAAACUGGAGAACUUGAGUACAGAAGAGGAAAGCGGAAUUCCACGUGUAGCGGUGAAAUGCGUAGAGAUGUGGAGGAACACCAGUGGCGAAGGCGGCUUUCUGGUCUGUAACUGACGCUGAGGCGCGAAAGCGUGGGGAGCAAACAGGGAUUAGAUACCCUGGUAGUCCACGCCGUAAACGAUGAGUGCUAAGUGUUAGGGGGGUUUCCGCCCCCUUAGUGCUGCAGCUAACGCAUUAAGCACUCCGCCUGGGAGUACGGCGCAAGGCUG